GCCCACUUGGCUUAGUGGGUUAGAGCAUGUCACUCCGAUCUUGACUGAUGCGGGUUCGAGUCCCGCAGUGGGCA